rnacentral:rRNA from 1 species
UGGAGCAUGUGGUUUAAUUCGAAGCAACGCGAGAACCUUACCAGGUCUUGACAUCCCCUGACAACCCGAGAGAUCGGGCGUUCCCCUUCGGGGGACAGGGUGACAGGUGGUGCAUGGUUGUCGUCAGCUCGUGUCGUGAGAUGUUGGGUUAAGUCCCGCAACGAGCGCAACCCUCGACCUUAGUUGCCAGCAUUCAGUUGGGCACUCUAAGGUGACUGCCGGCUAAAAGUCGGAGGAAGGUGGGGAUGACGUCAAAUCAUCAUGCCCCUUAUGACCUGGGCUACACACGUGCUACAAUGGGCGGUACAAAGGGUCGCGAACCCGCGAGGGGGAGCCAAUCCCAAAAAGCCGCUCUCAGUUCGGAUUGCAGGCUGCAACUCGCCUGCAUGAAGCCGGAAUCGCUAGUAAUCGCGGAUCAGCAUGCCGCGGUGAAUACGUUCCCGGGCCUU